AUUGAACGCUGGCGGCAUGCCUUACACAUGCAAGUCGAACGGCAGCACGGGAGCAAUCCUGGUGGCGAGUGGCGAACGGGUGAGUAAUAUAUCGGAACGUGCCCAGUCGUGGGGAUAACGUAGCGAAAGCUACGCUAAUACCGCAUACGAUCUAUGGAUGAAAGCGGGGGAUCGCAAGACCUCGCGCGAUUGGAGCGGCCGAUAUCAGAUUAGGUAGUUGGUGAGGUAAAGGCUCACCAAGCCGACGAUCUGUAGCUGGUCUGAGAGGACGACCAGCCACACUGGGACUGAGACACGGCCCAGACUCCUACGGGAGGCAGCAGUGGGGAAUUUUUGGGACAAUGGGCGCAAGCCUGAUCCAGCAAUGCCGCGUGCAGG
rnacentral:rRNA from 1 species